rnacentral:rRNA from 1 species
GAUGAACGCUGGCGGCGUGCCUAAUACAUGCAAGUCGAGCGAACAGACGAAGAUCUUGCUGCUGUGACGUUACCGGCGGGCGGGUGAGUAACACGUGGAUAACCUAUCUAUAAGACUUGGAUAACUUCGGGAAACCGUAGCUAAGACCGGGUAAGAUAUUGAACCGCAUGGUGCAAUAGUGAAAUACGGGUUUGCUGUCACUUAUAGAUGUAUCCGCUCGGCAUUAGCUAGUUGGUAAGGUAACGGCUUACCAAGGCAACGAUGGGUAGCCGACCCGAGAGGGUGAUAGGCCACCUUGGAACGGAAACACGGUCCAGACUACUACGGGAGGCAGCAGUAGGGAAUCUUCCGCAAUGGGCGAAAGCUUGACGGAGCAACGGAGCGUGAGUGAUGACGGUCUUCGGAUCGUAAAACUCUGUUAUUAGGGAAGAACAAAUGUGUAAGUAAAUAUGCACGUAUUGACGGUACCUACUCAGAAAGCCACGGCUAACUACGUG